CUGCCCGCUCCCGCCGGAGACCGAGUUACUGCGUUUAGAGCUAUCUUGUCUCUGGGUGGGUUCGGAGAGU
rnacentral:pre_miRNA from 1 species